rnacentral:lncRNA from 1 species
AAUAGUUACCAGUAUUCUCCUUCCUUACUGUACUAUUACAGACAAAUGACGAAAACCAAUUCUAAUGUAAUACAAAAUUACUUUAUAUCUUGAUUUAUAGGCUUCUGAUUUUGAUAAAAAAUAAAGUAUUGGGUCAAAUUAUAUCCAGGUUUUCAAUUUAAAAUUUUUAUUAUGAGUUUUUAAAAACUAGUGUAAGCAUUUAUCAAACAAAAACAAACAUGCCCUCUUAAAGAAUCAAUUUAGUUCAUCAUUAGUAAUAAAAUAGCUUUUUCAUAAGCUCAUUCUCUGUAAUUAUAAGGCAUGAGAAAGGAAAUAAAAAAGAAGAGCUAAAUAAUUGUAGAGCUAUACCAUAUUUAUAGACUGGAACUCAAUAUUGUUGGAAUGUCUAUUCUUUACAAAUUCUAUAGAUUCAGUAAAAUCUUCCCCCCAAAAUUCCAUUAGGAUUUUUUUCUUUAUUUGUAGAAAUUGGCAAAUUGAUUCUAAAAUUCACAUGGAAAUGCAAAGGAAAAAAAGUCUUCAAAAAUGGAUGUUGAAGAACUUACAUAAGCCACUUGAUUUUUAGAGUUAUUUUUAAAGCUAAAUUAAUGAAGAUAGGUGUUUUGUUAGCAUAGGGGUAGGUAACUAAAUCAGUUGAACAGAAUUCAACACAAAUAUGGUUCAUUGCUUUGAACAAAGGUGCCAAAGCAGUUCAAUGAAAGGAAGGAAAAUCUAUAACAAAUGGUUCCAGAACAACCAGAAAAUGAACCUAUGCUCCUACUUUACACCAUAAAAUAGGUAAUUUAAGAUGUGUAAUAGAUGUAACUUUAAAAGUCAAAACAUAAAGCUUCUAAAAAAUUAACAAGGAGGAUAUCAUUGUGUCUUUCACAUUUGAAGAUUUCUUAUCUGAUUAAUAAGUGCACACACACACAGACAUGCAUGGGCACACACACACAGUCCAACCACAAAAGGAAAAAAAAAGUAGGUAACUCGAUUAUAUAAUAAUUAAAAAUUUUCUUUUGGAGUUCCCGUCGUGGCUCAGUGGUUAAUGAAUCCGACUAGGAACCAUGAGGUUGCGGGUUCGAUCCCUGCCCUUGCUCAGUGGGUUAAGGUUCCGCCGUUGCCAUGAGUUGCAGACACGGCUCGGAUCCCGUGUUGCUGUGGCUCUGGCGUAGGCCAGUGGCUACAGCUCCAAUUAGACCCCUAACCUGGGAACCUCCAUAUGCUGCAGAAGAAGCUCAAGAAAUGGCAAAAAGACAAAAAAAAUUCCUUCAUCAAAAGCAAACAAAAUAAAACACAAUUGUUACAAAAAUAAAAAGCAAGCUAUAAACUUAGAGACAUUUUACAUAUUUACACAUAUUUACAAUAUUUUUACAACAUUUACACAUAUUUACACAUAUUUACAGCAUUUAUAUCUGUCAAGAUAAUUAUUUCAGAAUCCUACAAGUCAAUAAUAACAAUCAUCAACACAAUAAAAAAUGAGCAGACUAGAAUACUUCAACAAAGAGAAGAGAAAUGAAUGGCCAAUAAGCAUUUGAAAAGGUGCUCAGCAUAGUUAUGGAAAUGCAGGUUAAAACCACACAUUCCGUAGCCAGACAAACUGCUAAAAUUAAAAAAAAAUUGACAAUAUUAAAGAUUGGUGAGAAUGUGGAAAACUGGAGCUCUUACAUUGUUAGUGUGUAAAAUGGUAUAAUUAUUUGGAAAUGGUUUCUCAGUUUCUUAUAAAAAUUAAAAAUAGACCUAAUUGUUUCCCAAAAAUUUCACUGCUAGAUAUUUACUUGAGAGAAAUACAAAUGCAAAAAGGGUUAUAGUUGCCUUGUAAUAGAGAAAAGCUGAAAACAACUCAACUGUUUAUUAAUAGAACAAUGAAGAAAUUAUGGAAUAUUCAUAUACACUACUUAGCAAUAUAAAGGGACAGAAUCUGAAAUACAACAACAUGGAUGAAUCUCAGAAUUUUAUGUUGAAUAUAGGAAAGUAGACACAAAUAACAAUAUAUUUAAAUUUCUAUGAAGUUACAAUAGGCAAAAACUCAAAACAGGAAGCAAUCUAAAUGUCCAUCAGCUGGUGAACAAAUAAAAUAUGGCAUAUCCACACAAUGGAAUAUGGAAUAUUAUCCAGAUUAAAAAGAAUGAACAUCCAAUGUAUACUAUAACAGGUAAAGCAUUAUACUAAGUGAAAGAAGCUAGAUGCAAAAGACUACGUAUUGUAUGAUUCCAUUAAUAUUAAAUUUCCAGGAAAGGCAAAUCUUUGAUCAUAGAACACAGAUCAAUGACUACAUGGACUGGGGAGUGGGGGGUGCAAACAGGCAUGAGGGAAUUUUUUGAUCGUAGGAGUAGGAUAGGCAAUAUAAGAAAGGAAACAGGCAUGAGGGAAUUUUUUGAGUUUAUGGAAAUACAGAACUGAAUCAUGGUGGUGAUAGUUGUUCAACUCUGUGUAUGUACUGAAAACUCACUGAAUUUUGUGUACUUAUUAUAAACUUUAUAUAUUUCAAUAAAGUUUUUGCAAAGGGGAAAGAAAGCAGACAAAGCUAACAUAUAGUGAUAGAAAUUAGAGCAGUGGUUGUUUCUAAGCAAGUGGUGGAGAUUGACUGGAAAUGAGAAGGAAGGAACUUUUGGGUGGUGGGAAUAUUCUAUAUAUUGAUUGACCUGAUAGUUAUACAUGGGUAGUUGUAGUUGUCAAAAUUCAUGGAUACAGUUAUGACUUGUGUAUUUUUAUAAUAUGUAAAUUGUAUGUCAAAUUUUUUUAAAAAGUCACUCCAGAUUUGGGCUUUGUUGAAUUGGAAGAAAGUAGCAUUGAGAGUUACAUUAAAGUUUGCCUCUUCUGAUGAGCAAGCAGCGAUGGAGAAAGAUGCUGAUUAUGUUGAUUUUAUCUUAUGUGAAGUAACUUUGGGGCAGAAAAUACGCAAAAGCAUGUAAAUAACGUGUUUUUAUUUACUUUUUUUUUCUUUAUAGAAACCAGUUUUAUUCUUCUUUUGUUUGCUUUUAAGGGUAUGGCUAGAGAUUUAUCAGGAAACUUUCUAUUCUCAUCAAGGCCAAUAUGGCCACUAAUUGUUAUCUCAGUCAUUUUUUUUUUUUGCCUCAUUAUUCUUAGAAUCAAGUAAAUGGGAAUAAAUAUAAGUGUACAGAAAAUAAGCAGUAAAUUGUUGACAGUGUGCUAUGGUGUUUAAUUAUUGUCAUCAUCUAACUCCUCUGAUGUAUGUUGCUUAUAUUUAUCAAGAGCCAAAGUGUAAAGAAGAUUUGUUUGGGGGAAGCCACUUUGCUUUCUUCAGUCUGAUAUGGAAUUUAGAAUGGUUACUCACUCAUUAUCAGGUUUUUUAUACUUAACCUUUAUUAAAUCUUUUCAAAUCCUAAUCAUGGCUUCAUGGUAAAAUCCAGAGAAAAGUUUUAAGUGUGUGGUGAAUGACAAGUGUUGAAGAUUUUGUUCUCUUCAUUUUUUUUUUUUUCUUUUUUUUUGGCCUAUCUGUGAUACAUGGAAGUUCCAGGAACCGGGAUCUAACCUGCACCACAACAAGUGACCCAAGCCACAGUAAUGACAAUGCCAGAUUCCUUUUUUUUUUUUUUUAACUUUUCUAGGAGCAUAUUUUUUAAUUAAGAUGACUUUUCCCCAGAUUCUUAAUCUGCGAGGUCACCAGGGAACUCCUUCCUUUACAUUUUUUCUACCUUAUUUUGCAUUUCCCAUAUUCCUGGUACUGUUUCUUUUUUUUUUUCUCCCAUUCAAGCAAAAUCUUCAACAUUCCAAACCCAUCCUUCCAUUUCUGAAGCAUAUGUGGUAGUAAUAUGUACUGCCCAGUAAUCCCUUUUAUUAAAAAAAUUAUUUUUAUUUUAUAUUGGAGCAUACUUGAUUUGCAAUGUCGUAUUAGUUUCAAAUGUACAGCAAAGUGGUUCAGCUAUACAUAUACAUAUAUCUAUUCCUUUUCAAUUCUUUUAUAGGUUAUUACAGGAUAUUGAGUUCCCUGUGUUCUAUAGUAGGGCAUAUAUUUUAAUCCCAAACUCCUAAUUUGCCCCUCCCCCCUACUUUCCUCCUUUGAUAACAAAAAGUUUGUUUCUGAAGUCUGUGAGUCUUUUUCUGUUUUGUAAAUAAGUUCAUCUGUGUCAUUUUUUUAAGAUUCUCUAUAUAAAUAAUAGCAUAUGAUAUUUGUCUUUGUCUGAUUUACUUCACUUAGAUUAAUCUCUAGGGUCAUCCAUAUUGCUGCAAAUGUCAAUUCAUUCUUUUUUGUGGCUAAGUAAUAUUCAGUUGUACAUAUGUAUGUAUACAUUGUACAUAUGUAUUUACAUAUACAUUUAUUUGUGUAUAUAUAUAAUACACAUAUAUAUUGUAUACAUGUAUUUAUUCCUCUGUUGAUGGACAUUUAGGUUGCUGCCAUGUCUUGACUAUUGUAAACAGUGCUGCAGUGAACAUUGGAAUGUAUGCAUCUUUUCAAAUUAAUGAUUUUCUCUGGAUAUGUGCCCAGGAGUGGUAUUGCUAGAUCAUAUGGUAGUUCUAUUUUCAGCCUUUAAAGGAACAUCCAUACUAUUCUCUAUAGCAGUUAUACCAAUUUACAUUCCCACCAACAGUAUGGGGGGGUUCCCUUUUUAGCAUACCCUCUCUAGCAUUUAUUGUUUGUAGACUUUUUGAUGAUGGCAAUUAUGACUGGUGUGAGGUGAUACCUCAUUGUAGUUUUGAUUUCUCUUUCUCUAAUAAUUAGCGAUGUUGAGCAUCUUUUGAUGUACUUUUGGGCCAUCUGCCUUCUUCAGAGAAAUGUUUUUUUAGAUCUUCUGCACAUUUUUACUGAGGAGUUUUUUGUUUUUGUUUUUGUUUUUUUGAUAUUGAGCUGCACAAGCUGUUUGUAUAUUUUGGAGAUUAAUCUCUUGUUGGACACUUUGUUUACAAAUAUUUUUUCCCAUUCUGUGGGUUAUCUCUUUGCCUUGUUAUGGUUUCCUUUUCUAUGUAAAAGCUUUUAAAUUUAAUUAGGUCCCAUUUGUUUAUUUUUAUUUUCAUUUUCAUUACUCUAGGAGGUGGAUCCAAAAAGAUAUUGCUGUGAUUUAUGUCAAAGAGUGUUCUGCCUGUGUUUUCCUCUAAGAAAUCCCCCUAUCUUGUAAUGCUCCCCACUUUCACAUCAGGACAUUCUCCCUAUUUCCAAGCACACUUACUUCAUCCAGAGGCUAAAAUUUUCAUCCAAAGACUUCAGAGUGGGAGCAACUGCUGUAGGUGCUUCUCAUGUAUGCUCUCAAGGAUCCGGUGAGCACCUCAACGUCGUUGCCAUGUGCUCCUCCUAUACCUAGUUUUAAAAUCUGAGUUCCCUGGUCCUCCGAUUACUUCAGUACUUCUGAGGCAAUACAAAUAUAUUUAUCUGAAACCUCAUUUCUUUCAGAAGCAAGACCCCACUCUGUUUCCACUUACAUUUGGCAUUUCUUGUCUCCUUUCAUUGGUUUUAUAAAGCCAACUAAAAAAAACUUUUGGAGUUCUCGUCGUGGCGCAGUGGUUAACGAAUCCGACUAGGAACCAUGAGGUUGCGGGUUUGAUCCCUGCCCUUGCUCAGUGGGUUAAAGAUCCGGUGUUGCUGUGAGCUGUGGUGUAGGUUGCAGACGCGGAUCGGAUCCCGAGUUGCUGUGGCUCUGGCAUAGGCUGGCAGCUACAGCUCCGAUUCGACCCCUAGCCUGGGAACCUCCAUAUGCCGUGGGAGCGGCCCAAGAAAUG